rnacentral:rRNA from 1 species
GAUCAUAAUAACUAGUCGAAUCGACAGGCCUUGUGCCGGCGAUGGCUCAUUCAAAUUUCUUCCCUAUCAACUUUCGAUGUUUGGGUCUUGUCCAAACAUGGUGGCAACGGGUAACGGAGGGUUAGGGCUCGACCCCGGAGAAGGAGCCUGAGAAACGGCUACUACAUCCAAGGAAGGCAGCAGGCGCGCAAAUUACCCAAUCCCGACACGGGGAGGUAGUGACAAUAAAUACUGAUACAGGGCUCUUUUGGGUCUUGUAAUCGGAAUGAGUACAAUUUAAAUCCCUUAACGAGGAACAAUUGGAGGGCAAGUCUGGUGCCAGCAGCCGCGGUAAUUCCAGCUCCAAUAGCGUAUAUUAAAGUUGUUGUGGUUAAAAAGCUCGUAGUUGAACCUUGGGCCUGGCUGGCCGGUCCGCCUCACCGCGUGCACUGGUCCGGCCGGGCCUUUCCCUCUGCGGAACCCCAUGCCCUUCACUGGGUGUGGCGGGGAACCAGGACUUUUAC